rnacentral:snRNA from 1 species
GAUCACCAUCUUUCGGCUGAGAU